rnacentral:rRNA from 1 species
GACGAACGCUGGCGGCGUGCUUAACACAUGCAAGUCGAACGGAAAGUCCCUGCUUUUUUUGGGUGCUCGAUUGGCGAACGUGUGAGUAACACGUGAGUAACCUGCCCUUUACUUUGUUAUAACUUCAGGAAACUUUGGCUAAUACCUUAUAUGAUCUCCUGCUUCAUUGUGUUGUUUGGACAUUUUCGGCGGUUGGGGAUGGACUCGCGGCUUAUCUGCUUGUUGGUGGGGUAGUGGCUUACCAAGGCUUUGACGGGUAGCCGGCCUGAGAGGGUGACCGGCAACAUGGGGACUGAGAGAAGGACCAGAAUCCUACGGGAGGCAGCAGUGGGGAAUAUUGCACAAUGGGCGGAAGCCUGAUGAAGAAACGCAGCGUGCGGGAUGACGGCCUUCGGGUUGUAAACCGAUUUCGCCUGUGACGAAGAGUGAGUGACGGUAAUGGGUAAAGAAGCACCGGCUAACUACGUG